ACUCUGCGUUCACUUUUGCAGAAUCCCCUGGAGAUUUUAUGGAUAAUCUAAGGGAUGACAUUGUUAAAGGUUUUGUAAAGAUUUUCUCUUGUAUUAAGUAACCCAGAAUUGGGGCUCUUUCCUGUUGAUCUUUAAAUCCGUUUUUUUCUAUAUAUUUGGGAAUGAUAGAGACAUGCUGAUUACUUUUUUUUGGUCAGGUAGGAGGAAAUGGUUUGUCAUAAACUCGUGGAGUGUAACAAUACGUUCUUUUAAAAUGAUGGCCUGAAUAUAGGGUGUCAGUCCUUGGAGAUCCACAAUGCUAUGCAUAAAUUUGUCUUUCGAUGUUUGCUGACAACCCGUGAUAAAACUUUUAAGCUUCUUAAUAAUGUUAUCGAUAAAAACCUCAUAUUACUUAAUGUGUACACUGAAUCACUUUGUAUGCAUGUGGCUUAUGUGCUUCUUUGCAGGAUACCCUUAUUUUUUAUGCAGGAUUACAACUGAAUAUGACUUGAGGUGCAACUAACUGAUGGGAGAUUUUGGUACAACAACUUUUAGACAUAGUGCACAAGCUGUUAGAACAAAGCUCUGUAUCAAAUACAAUUGUGCCCAGGUGCGCUUUUUCUACAUCAACUCCCAUUUUUACCUCACCUUUUUUAAAAAAAAGUCUUUUUGUAAUUUAUCUUUUAUUCUCUUAUGAUAUCAUUUAUGGAGUUCAUGUUUGUGGCUUUCUUAAAUGGUCAUACGAAUCUGUCAGUAUAUGCUGGACUGAUGCAGCUAGAUAUGGGAAGUUUGGAACUUUGAGCAGCUCUCAUUGUGCCACUAAUGCAGCUAAAUAUGAGAACUUUGGAACUUUGAGCAGCUCUCAUUGUGCCUUGGCUGACCUUGCAGCUAAUUUAUUAUAUAUUUCGUAACUAUCAAUAUUUGAGUAAGAAGCAAUCUCUUAUGUUUCUUGCAGGCUUUGAGAUUUAGGGGUGGCUAAUUUCGUUCGUCAAUGUUGAAUGAUUUUGUAGUGAUACAACCUGGAAAAAGCUUAUGGGAGUAAAUCGAAGGUGCCAGCUCUGGAUCACAACGAAUUUUUCAUUACUUAAUUGCAGGUGAAUGUUUGUGGAACUCCUAACCUGCAAUUGUAAAGAUCAUAUACUGAGCACACAACAUGGCCACCUGAUUUUAGGAAGUAGGAAGAAGGAGGAUUGAAAAAUUUACCCAAACAUUUGGUCAUGUAGUUCUGCUCUGUUCAAGUCAUUAUUUUAAUUUCUC